UACGUAGGGGGCAAGCGUUGUCCGGAUUUAUUGGGCGUAAAGAGCGUGUAGGCGGCCAGGUAGGUCGGUUGUGAAAACUCGAGGCUCAACCUCGAGAUGUCGACCGAAGCCAUCUGGCUAGAGUCCGGAAGAGGAGAAUGGAAUUCCCGGUGUAGCGGUGAAAUGCGCAGAUAUCGGGAAGAACACCCGUGGCGAAGGCGGUUCUCUGGGACGGUACUGACGCUGAGACGCGAAAGCGUGGGGAGCGAACAGG
rnacentral:rRNA from 1 species